UGGGGAAUAUUGGACAAUGGGCGAAAGCCUGAUCCAGCCAUGCCGCGUGUGUGAAGAAGUUCUUCGGAUUGUAAAGCACUCUUAGUUGGGAGGAAGGGCAGUAAGCGAAUACCUUGCUGUUUUGACGUUACUGACAGAAUAAGCACCGGCUAACUCUGUGCCAGCAGCCGCGGUAAUACAGAGGGUGCAAGCGUUAAUCGGAAUUACUGGGCGUAAAGCGCGCGUAGGUGGUUCGUUAAGUUGAAUGUGAAAGCCCCGGGCUCAACCUGGGAACUGCAUCCAAAACUGGCGAGCUAGAGUAGGGCAGAGGGUGGUGGAAUUUCCUGUGUAGCGGUGAAAAGCGUAGAUAUAGGAAGGAACACCAGUGGCGAAGGCGACCACCUGGGCUCAUACUGACACUGAGGUGCGAAAGCGAAGGGAGCAAACAGG
rnacentral:rRNA from 1 species